CGCGUUUUGGGGAAAGGCAGAGCAGCGGGAGCGCGGCGCAAGGGCAAAAUGGAUCGUUGGUACCCGGAAGCCCGUUCAAACUGUAUAAGGGUGAUCAGCUAUCACGGAGAAGGCUUUAGCAAGUCGGGGCCAGUGGCGCAAUGGAUAACGCGUCUGACUACGGAUCAGAAGAUUCUAGAAGCCCAUGGAAACAAGGCGAUGACGGCGCUUGAGGGUGACCAGACCUCCUCAAUCAUUCCAUCAGCCACCCAGGACUCAACAGCAGAACCUCAGAGGACUCAGCUGAAAGAGGUUUUCACUCGAGCACUAACCACAGAGAAAUGGGAAGUGCCAUCCUGCUGUCAUACGCAGCCGAUGGCUGGGUAGGACUAAAUGCCCUUCUGUGGUGAGAUGAACCAAGACGGCAGAUGGGGGAAUAACAUCAGUGAGAGAGAGAUUACGAAUGGAUCCUUGUAUUGCAGAUCAAACUGGGUUGUCUCUUCUCAAACCACCCAGGCAGUUUCUGAAUGUCCCAAGAUAGGGGUAGGAGAAAAGAAAAAAAAGACAAAACAGGAGACGGUGGGUAAGAAAACCUAAAAGGCACAAUGAGGCAAAGGCCUAAGAUGGAGGCUGGCUUUGGGAUCUGAAAUCCGGCCACAAUCCUCCUUGUUUUACCUCAAGUCCAAGAAUUGUCAAAAAGAAAACCCAGAAGGGCUAUUCAUUCUAAAUUUUAAAAUCUUUUCUUCCUGGCCUACCAAGUCCUUGUGUUUUCUUUCUAGGCGCCCAUAAAUACAACCCCAUUACAGUUCUAUUUGGCUAAUAAUUUACAGAACAUUUAAAAUACCGGGUAGGUGAACAUCUCUUCAUGGCUUUUGUGUAAGGGCCUGAAGCGAAGAGAAAAACAACUGAUUGGAGAUUCCUAUCUGGCGCCUUCUCCAGGGAAACUGACAACCAGAGAAAUCUGUUGCUAGGAUUUCUAGGACAUCUGGAAAUUCCCUUUUUGUUCUUUCUCAACAAUAUAAAAUGGUAUAUUCGCAAACCUAUCUGAAUCACCUCAAUCUAGGCCACUUUGAAAAUUUCAUUUAAAAAUGUAAUCACAGAUUUUUAAACUAAUUACCCAAUUUGCAAACAAAUCCCAGCUACUUCUGGUCUUGAACAUGGAGCAAAGGUGUGUCAGUAAGGCCAACAUUCUUAGGUUGACAGAGACAGGUUAACACAUUGGCUGGCUUCAUUUACCCCCCUGCCACUGUGUGGCCCUCCCUCAGCUCCUGCC
rnacentral:lncRNA from 1 species